CCUGGACAACAGAAUGAGACCCUGUCUCGAAAAAAAAAAAAAAAGAUUGAAGUUAAUUGGUCUACAAAAGAUGAAAACCAUGUCCUUGUCUUCAUUCGCUGACAUUUAACCAUCUUAACCACCUUUAACCAUAACUCUCCAGUUGCACGGAUCAACCAUGAUGAUAGGGUUUUGAAACACUGGCCAACAUUACUGUUCUUCCCCACAUCAGUUCUAGAGGUUUGUGUAUCUGGUGCUCACACUAACCUGUUUUUAGAAGCCCCCAGAAAUUAGCUGAGAAUGGUUGUCCACAAUCCCCAGAAGUCACUUCCAUGUUCAUGGAGGGAGGUGGAUAAUCCUUAUGAGAGUAAGGUUUUCCUGCAGAGUCAUGGCAAGUGGUGGAGUAAAUCCAUUUUCUUUCUGAUGUGGGGGUAAGUUGUGUUCAAACACCAGCGUGGUUGUUGCAUCCACUGACCUAGUUUUCUAAGUAGGUGGAAAUACGGUUAUAGUUACUUGUCACUUGCUUGUUGAAGCCUGCUGGAUUGACAGCUGUCUGUGAAUCUGUGAAGUGACCAGUAAUGCUGCGGGAAUGCGGCUGGAGAAUGUGGAAACCAGCUUGAGAAAAGCAAGUGAGCUUCUGCUCAGAAUCAUAGGAUGCUAGAACAGGAAGGGAACAGGGCAAUCACAACUUAAGCUUCUGGGGCUCCAGACAAGAACCUCCAGAUCCUGAGCAGGUCCUACACCUCAUUGUGCUUGUAAAAAUGCAGAGUCCUGGGCCCCCAACACCAGGAAUUCAUAUUCAGCUCGUUUGGGGCAGAGUGUGGGACCUGAAGGGAUCCGAUGCUGUUAGCUCAAAAACUACACUGGACUUGCAGAUACGGAGAGCUAAGACCUGCCAGGAGGCAGGAAGCCUGGUCCUGAUUCCCAGCCCAGUGCUCUUUGCAGCCCAGGCAGGGUUCCCUAUACCUGAAAUGUGUUAUAACCAACACAUAGUCUAACCAGAUUGUUGCAUUACUUGACCAAGCAGUCCUAGCCAGCCCAGAGAACCGUUCUGAUGCGUUGGAAAGAGCUUUCUGGCACAGAGCAGAACUGAUUUGCCUUGGGAUGUUCCACCUCCCUCCUCUGUCUAGGAUGGGUAGAGACCUACUGAUCUAAUUCCUGAAUGUCUAUCAUAAGGCGAUAUGUUCUUAGCUAUUUGUCUUUGCCUUAUCUUCAGAAAUUAAGAUAAAGGUAUGCCUGACUGCCUCCAUUUAAUAAAAAGACAGGAUGGACAGCUAGAGGAUGGGAGGGUACGAAGGCAGUCACAGGUAUGGUUAAGGGUAGGGCAGGCUUCCAUUCAUCCAGGCAUCGUGGACAGUCUCCAGAACGUGGAUUCUGAGUCCUUACUUGGAGAGCCCAUUUUGUUCUCUUCCACUCUCCAUCCUUUGAGGUGAGAAACAAAACUUACUCUUUGUAUUAAAACCUCAAAUUGGCUGUUGCCUUGGAAAUGCUGCCCUGCUUCCUCUCUUUAAUCAUUAGUAUCUUAUUUAAGCUCCAUCAUCCCCUGGAGUUUUAGGAACUAGCAAGAUGUCCUCCAUGAGACAGAGAUCUUACAGAUGCAGUAGUUUAUCAGACAAGCCCAUUCCUUGGGCGGAGAGCCACAGCACCCUGAGAGCGUGGGGAAAAUAGUGUUUCCAUCUUCAAACAGGCUCUGCUCCAUGCCAGACACCACUGACACUGGGCACAUGGAUUUUGGGAGAACGUGUGUGUGUGUGUGUGUGUGUGUGCACGCUCGUGCACUUAGGCACACAGGAAUGAAUAUUUUUCACUAAUUGGGUGGAGGUGGAGAGGCACCAGAGACAUGGAGUAUGUAAAAACUGAAAAACAACUCAACACUUCUGGCUGAGACAUUGCAGAGCCUGGGUUGUCUAUCUUCAUUGUGAAUGUUUGUCCUCUUCCUGGCUGGUGAUGACAGGCUUCAUAUCUCUUGAAGGAAUGUUGGGGAGCUGAGAAGGGCUGUGAGCCAUGGUUGCUAAGUGUUACUGUUAGUUCUUUAUUAUGUAAGAAUCUCUGCAUUGUGUUGAUACUAAAACAGUAAGUAAAGGGCGGGUGCUUUCAUUCUGCUUUUACAUAAGAAGUAUGGGAGUUUGCCCAUUUUUCUCUGAAGUCUUUUCGUCUUCGCGAUGCUCAGUUUGCGACCCUACCAGAAGCAGCGGCCGAAGACAGAGCCGCAUCAGUUAAUUUAGGCCUCCUGAGUCGUUUUGAUAAACAACUGGGUGGGAGGAGGGAUGGUUCAAAUGAGAUUUUAAGAAUUAUAGAUGUAUGUGUAUUUGCUGCUGCUCCACAGGAGAACUGAAAAUAGACUGAAAGCUGCUCCCAGCCAAAGCCAGAAGGAAACUGCAGUAUUGAGAGAGAGGAGAGAGAACAGACUCAAAUCACUCGGGGCAAGAGAGGGUUUACUGGUGUGGAAACCGGGUCGUGGGGAGGCCUACAGCAGAAUAUCAGGAGGGGACUUCAGCGGGGACCCAAGGAAAGAUGUGAAAGAAAAGACACUAUACAAAAGGUGAACCCUUUUGAUCCCAUCUUACUGUAAAGCCAAAAGGAGUGAGUACUGUUUUCAGUGACCCUGGCCCCAUAUGGGUGCUCUGCCUGUUGUGUCAGCCAGCUCUUCGGCUGGUACCUGGUUUGAAAGUUAUGUCUUUCAUGUAUUUAUUUCCAGACACCCUUUUAGCAGCAGUUACAUUUCAUAAAGGAAUUUUUAAUAUCUCUUUUGUUCCCUGCUAUGUCUGCCAUCACCCACAACAAUGCCUAGCACAAAGAAAGCAUUCAAUAAAUAUUUGCUGAGUGAAUGAAUGAUGUUUCUUCAUGAACAGACGAGGAAACUGAGGCAUAAUGUGAUUAACUGCCUGGUCCAUCAUAUCAUUUGUUCUAUCAAAAUUGCAAGUAAUAGAAACCAAUUUGAGCCAGAUACGAAGGAGUAUGACGGGAGGGGUCCCAGGAGUCUCAAAGACGCCAGGGUCUUCAGGAACUGACCUGGACACCUCUGGAUCUCUCUCCCUUCCUCCUCUCUCCUCUGAGGUCUCUCUCUCUCUCUCGGUUCCAGCCACAGGAAGGGACUCUGAAUCUCUCCCGGUCCUUGUCCCAAAUUCCCAGGAUGGGCUUCUGGUCAGGGCUGUGUCCACCAUUGCAUGAGUUUGCAGCAGUUCAAGCCAAUGAGUGGCGGGGCUGAAGAACCCAUCGAGGUGAGAGGAGCCGCUCACAUUCUCACGAAUUUCUCUGCGGAUGGUUAGAUCCAGAGAACACAUAAUCCGGCUGGUGUGAAUGACACCCCUAAGUAUUUACUCUGGAAAUUCUCAUGAUUAUCUUUACUGAGGAGUCUUUUAUCUGUGAAAAUGCAUAAUUAUGGAACAAGUCCUGAGGAUUGUCUAAAAUUACAAGUAAAAACUUGAGCCCA